UCGCACGAGACUUUUCAUCGGACACAGGAGCAAUUCUUCGAAUGAACUGACUGAUUUGUAUUUACGACUCCGAUUGACACGCUCCGCUGGAGUUCGUUGAUUCAACUCAGUCAGUUCAUUCGAAGACUGGCUCCUGUGUCCGAACAGUCUUUAAGA